AUAAUUAUUCAGUGUUGUUACUUUAAAGUGUUGUUACUGACCUUUUUCUCUUUUAUUUUCUUUACCUCACCUGUAACUGCUGAGACCCUGAGGAACAUGCACACUGGACUGACCUGCUCUGGCAACCUGAUUUCCACUCUCCAUCCAUCACCGUUCUCUGUUCCUGCAGGUCCUGCUUGCUAAUCAAUGCUUUAUUUUUUUACACAAUUACAAAUAAAGUCAAUGUAUUGUAUGACAUGAAGUUGUGCUUCAUUCUGAGUCAAUAAUAAAUUCAUUCUGCCUUCAA